ACACAUGCAAGUCGAGCGAGGCGGAAGGGGGCAACUCCUUCCAGUCGAGCGGCGGACGGGUAGAGUAACACGUGGGUAACCUGCCCGGAAGUGGGGAAUACCUCGGAGAAAUUCGAGCUAAUACCGAUGACAUCUUUGGGACGAAAGUCCUGACGAUCAAAGCGGGGUCGCAAGAUCUCGCGCUACCGGAUGGGCCCGCGCCCGAUUAGCUAGUUGGUGAGGUAACGGUCACCAAGGCUUCGAUCGGUAACCGGCCUGAGAGGGCGAUCGGUCACACCGGAACUAAGACACGGUCCGGACUCCUACGGGAGGCAGCAGUGGGGAAUCUUGCGCAAUGGGCGAAAGCCUGACGCAGCAACGCCGCGUGGAGGAUGAAGGCCCUUGGGUUGUAAACUCCUGUCGGCUGGGAAGAAAUCGUUCGUGGCUCAUACCCACGGACGUUGACUGUACCAGCAAAGGAAGCCCCGGCUAACUCUGUGCCAGCAGCCGCGGUAAUACAGAGGGGGCUAGCGUUAUUCGGAAUUACUGGGCGUAAAGCGUGCGCAGGCGGUUUUGUAAGUCUGUCGUGAAAUCCCCGGGCUCAACCUGGG
rnacentral:rRNA from 1 species